rnacentral:rRNA from 1 species
UGUCCUCAUGAUAAUAAUUUGAGGUCUGGCCUGCCCACUGAAUAUUUAAUGUUUGAAGGGCCGCGGUAUUUUGACCGUGCAAAGGUAGCAUAAUCAUUAGUCUUUUAAUUGAAGGCUUGUAUGAAUGGUUGGACGAGGUAUUGACUGUCUCAGUGUAAAUGAAAUUAGAAUUUAACUUUUAAGUUAAAAGGCUUAAAUGUGUUUAAAGGACGAGAAGACCCUAUAGAGCUUUAUAUUAAUUAUUUAUUUGACAUUUAGUGGUAUUGCGCAGGUAGAUGGUAUAGUAUUUGGUUGGGGUGACAGGAAGAUAGAAUAAACUCUUUUUAUAAUAUAAACAUUGAUUUAUGAGUGGUUGAUCCAUUAUUAGUGAUUAUAAGACUAAGUUACCUUAGGGAUAACAGCGUAAUCUUUUUUGAGAGUUCUUAUCGACAAAAAGGGUUGCGACCUCGAUGUUGGAUUAAGGGUAAUUUCGGGUGUAGAUGUUCGAAGUUUAGGUCUGUUCGACCUUUAGAUCCUUACAU